rnacentral:misc_RNA from 1 species
UAAUAAGUGUUUUAUGGCACUUUUUAAAUCCAUAUCCACCUUGUGUGCAAUGUUUUGAAAAUCGCCUUCUUGGUGGUUUUUUAAUUACAUCAACCAAUUUUAACAAAUUUGUCUUAAAAAUUCUUGAAUAAAUAUAAUUCAAAAAA